UACGAAGGGGGCUAGCGUCGCUCGGAAUCACUGGGCGUAAAGGGUGCGUAGGCGGGUCUUUAAGUCAGGGGUGAAAUCCUGGAGCUCAACUCCAGAACUGCCUUUGAUACUGAAGAUCUUGAGUCCGGGAGAGGUGAGUGGAACUGCGAGUGUAGAGGUGAAAUUCGUAGAUAUUCGCAAGAACACCAGUGGCGAAGGCGGCUCACUGGCCCGGUACUGACGCUGAGUGAGCGAAAGCCAGGGGAGCAAACGGG
rnacentral:rRNA from 1 species